rnacentral:rRNA from 1 species
UGACUCCUUGAGACUCCUGAAGGAACGUUAAAGACGAUGACGUUGAUAGGUCGGGUGUGUAAGCGUAGCGAUACGUUGAGCUAACCGAUACUAAUGAACCGUGAGGCUUAACCUUACAACGCCGAAGGUGUUU